ensembl:lncRNA
CGACGGCUUCCGGUUGUUGUGGCGACGGCUUCCGGUUGUUAUGGAGACGGCCUCUUGUUUACAGGCCCUUAGGAGGGCGACAGGUGGAUGGUCAUCUUCCUUCAUUUUAAAAACAAUUUUAAAAAAUAAAAUAAAAUAAAAAAAAUACCAAAAAAACUAUUAAAAUUAAAUAAAAUCGCUAGAAAAAAAAUAUAAAAAUAAAUAAAUAAAUGUUAAAAAAUGAAAAAAAUCUAUACCACAACUCUAUAGAGGACGAAGACGAUGCUGAAACUCUGGGAACCAUGUUCUGAUCUGGAGUGGGGUCGGUCAGUGUCCUGACUAGAUCUGGUGUAGGUCGGUCAGUGUCCUGACUGUAGAUCUGGUGUAGGUCGGUCAGUGUCCUGACUGUAGAUCUGGUGUGGGGUCGGUCAGUGUCCUGACUAGAUCUGGUGUAGGUCGGUCAGUGUCCUGACUAGAUCUGGUGUGGGGUCGGUCAGUGUCCUGACUGUAGAUCUGGUGUGGGGUCGGUCAGUGUCCUGACUGUAGAUCUGGUGUAGGUCGGUCAGUGUCCUGACUAGAUCUGGUGUGGGGUCGGUCAGUGUCCUGACUGUAGAUCUGGUGUGGGGUCGGUCAGUGUCCUGACUGUAGAUCUGGUGUGGGGUCGGUCAGUGUCCUGACUGUAGAUCUGGUGUAGGUCGGUCAGUGUCCUGACUAGAUCUGGUGUGGGGUCGGUCAGUGUCCUGACUGUAGAUCUGGUGUGGGGUCGGUCAGUGUCCUGACUGUAGAUCUGGUGUGGGGUCUCAGUAGUGUCUGACUGUAGAUCUGGGGGUCGGUCAGUGUCCUGACUAGAUCUGGUGUGGGGUCGGUCAGUGUCCUGACUGUAGAUCUGGUGUGGGGUCGGUCAGUGUCCUGACUAGAUCUGGUGUGGGGUCGGUCAGUGUCCUGACUAGAUCUGGUGUGGGGUCGGUCAGUGUCCUGACUAGAUCUGGUGUGGGGUCGGUCAGUGUCCUGACUGUAGAUCUGGUGUGGGGUCGGUCAGUGUCCUGACUGUAGAUCUGGUGUGGGGUCGGUCAGUGUCCUGACCCGUAGAUCUGGUGUGGGGUCGGUCAGUGUCCUGACCCGUGGUUCUGGUGUGGUUCUGGUUAGACCUGAAAUGGAGCCAGUGUCUCCCCAGAUUCUCUCCUUGUCGGAUGCAUCCAUCUUCUAGCACUGAAACGACUUCUGGUUGUGUGAGUUAGUUUGUACCUGCUUGGAAGAGCUCAGCGGUUUCACCCCCCCCCAAAAAUGCUGUCUUACGAAAAGGUAGAGAAAUCGGCGUGCUUCCUCCUCCUCCUCGCCACUGUCCUCCCAGUGUGUGUGUGUGUGUGUGUGUGUGUGUGUGUGUGUGUGUGUGUGUGUGUGUGUGUGUGUGUGACGUCAGUGGGACUGAACCAUAAAGCUGAUCCCUGUAUCUAUGCAUAUUGUAGCCAAUCACAAGGACUACAGACACGGGGAGGAGGGGCUUAAUUCUGUCUGUGUCACAACGUCAAAAUGUUUUAAAAUUAAUAAUGUGAUGAUGAUC